CCUACGGGAGGCAGCAGUGAGGAAUAUUGGACAAUGGGCGAAAGCCUGAUCCAGCCAUGCCGCGUGUGUGAAGAAGGUCUUCGGAUUGUAAAGCACUUUAAGUUGGGAGGAAGGGCAUUAACCUAAUACGUUAGUGUUUUGACGUUACCGACAGAAUAAGCACCGGCUAACUCUGUGCCAGCAGCCGCGGUAAUA
rnacentral:rRNA from 1 species